rnacentral:rRNA from 1 species
GACGUGCUAAUCUGCGAUAAGCGUCGGUAAGGUGAUAUGAACCGUUAUAACCGGCGAUUUCCGAAUGGGGAAACCCAGUGUGAUUCGUCACACUAUCAUUAACUGAAUCCAUAGGUUAAUGAGGCGAACCGGGGGAACUGAAACAUCUAAGUACCCCGAGGAAAAGAAAUCAACCGAGAUUCCCCCAGUAGCGGCGAGCGAACGGGGAGCAGCCCAGAGCCUGAAUCAGUGUGUGUGUUAGUGGAAGCGUCUGGAAAGGCGUGCGAUACAGGGUGACAGCCCCGUACACAAAAAUGCACAUACUGUGAGCUCGAUGAGUAGGGCGGGACACGUGGUAUCCUGUCUGAAUAUGGGGGGACCAUCCUCCAAGGCUAAAUACUCCUGACUGACCGAUAGUGAACCAGUACCGUGAGGGAAAGGCGAAAAGAACCCCGGCGAGGGGAGUGAAAAAGAACCUGAAACCGUGUACGUACAAGCAGUGGGAGCACGCUUAGGCGUGUGACUGCGUACCUUUUGUAUAAUGGGUCAGCGACUUAUAUUCUGUAGCAAGGUUAACCGAAUAGGGGAGCCGAAGGGAAACCGAGUCUUAACUGGGCGUUAAGUUGCAGGGUAUAGACCCGAAACCCGGUGAUCUAGCCAUGGGCAGGUUGAAGGUUGGGUAACACUAACUGGAGGACCGAACCGACUAAUGUUGAAAAAUUAGCGGAUGACUUGUGGCUGGGGGUGAAAGGCCAAUCAAACCGGGAGAUAGCUGGUUCUCCCCGAAAGCUAUUUAGGUAGCGCCUCGUGAAUUCAUCUCCGGGGGUAGAGCACUGUUUCGGCAAGGGGGUCAUCCCGACUUACCAACCCGAUGCAAACUGCGAAUACCGGAGAAUGUUAUCACGGGAGACACACGGCGGGUGCUAACGUCCGUCGUGAAGAGGGAAACAACCCAGACCGCCAGCUAAGGUCCCAAAGUCAUGGUUAAGUGGGAAACGAUGUGGGAAGGCCCAGACAGCCAGGAUGUUGGCUUAGAAGCAGCCAUCAUUUAAAGAAAGCGUAAUAGCUCACUGGUCGAGUCGGCCUGCGCGGAAGAUGUAACGGGGCUAAACCAUGCACCGAAGCUGCGGCAGCGACGCUUAUGCGUUGUUGGGUAGGGGAGCGUUCUGUAAGCCUGUGAAGGUGUACUGUGAGGUAUGCUGGAGGUAUCAGAAGUGCGAAUGCUGACAUAAGUAACGAUAAAGCGGGUGAAAAGCCCGCUCGCC